rnacentral:tRNA from 1 species
GGAAAGUUGCCGGAGUGGUCGAUCGGGGCAGACUCGAAAUCUGUUGAACCCUUCGGGGUUCCGGGGGUUCGAAUCCCUCACUUUCCG